GGAUACAUAACUCAGCUGGUUAGAGUAUUACGUUGACAUCGUAAAAGUCGCUGGUUCGAAUCCAGUUGUAUCCA
rnacentral:tRNA from 1 species